AGCCUAACGGCUGAACCAGCAACUUGGAAGAAUGUAGGCAGAUAUAACCAGUAUUUGUCCCUGUAAUGUUGCGAAUAAACAUAACAGAAUAGAGUAACUCUGUUACAUAAAGUUCUAGGUAAAUUUAUGAUUAUGACAUAGUUUAUCUAUAAGUCUUGGCUAAGUCACGUGCCAGCAGUCGCGGUAAUACGUGGAAGACAAGUGUUAUUCAUCUUUAAUAGGUUUAAAGGGUACUCAGACGGUUAAUUAAGCCAUACCAGGUACUAAUUAUACUAGAGUUUUAUAGAAGGAGAUCAGAACGGUGUGUGUAGAGAUGAAAUAUGUUGAUACUACUUUGAUACUGGCAACGGCGAAAGCAGCCUCUUAUGUAAAAAACUGACGUUAAAGGACGAAGGCUCGUAGAAAAUAACAGGAUUAGGUACCCCAGUAUUCUGAGCAGACAAUGAUGAGUGUCAUAGGUAAGAAUUUUAUUUGCGUAUAAAUGAAAGUGUAAACACUCCACCUCAAGAGUAACAUGGCAACAUAGGAACUGAAAUCAUUAGACCGUUUCUGAAACCAGUAGUGAAGUAUGUUGUUUAAUUUGAUGAUCCGCAAAAAACCUUACCACAAUUUGAACGAGUAAAUAUAAUAUUACCUAAAAAUAUUAUAUUUAUUUACAGGAGUUGCACGGCUGUCUUCAGUUGAUAUCGUGAGAUUAUGGUUAGCUCCAUUUAAUCAACGUAAACCCUAACUUUAUUUUCUAUAUAAAGUAGUCCGUCUUUAAAUUAGUCGGAAUAAUAGGGACUAAGACAAGUCACCAUGACCUAAAUAUUGU
rnacentral:rRNA from 1 species